GCCCCUUUGGCGGAAUUGGUAGACGCGCUGGACUCAAAAUCCAGUUCCCGUGAGGGAGUUCCGGUUCGACCCCGGAAGGGGGCACCA
rnacentral:tRNA from 3 species